rnacentral:rRNA from 1 species
GACGAACGCUGGCGGCGUGCUUAACACAUGCAAGUCGAACGGAAAGGCCCUGCUUUUGUGGGGUGCUCGAGUGGCGAACGGGUGAGUAACACGUGAGUAACCUGCCCUUGACUUUGGGAUAACUUCAGGAAACUGGGGCUAAUACCGGAUAGGAGCUCCUGCUGCAUGGUGGGGGUUGGAUAGUUUCGGCGGUUGGGGAUGGACUCGCGGCUUAUCAGCUUGUUGGUGGGGUAGUGGCUUACCAAGGCUUUGACGGGUAGCCGGCCUGAGAGGGUGACCGGCCACAGUGGGACUAAGGUACGGCCCAGACUCCUACGGGAGGCAGCAGUUGGGAAUAUUGCACAAGGGGCGGAAGCCUGAUGCAGUAACGCCGCGUGCGGGAUGACGGCCUUCGGGUUGUAAACCGCUUUCGCCUGUGACGAAGCGUGAGUGACGGUAAUGGGUAAAUAAGCACCGGCUAACUACGUG